GAUUUCUUGAUCCGGAGCGUGCAUCGAUCGUCGUCAUGAAUGAGUUGCGAGGCGAUCAGAUAUGCGUGCCUGCGCAGGAGGUGGUUGAUUCGAAGAAGAUAUUCUCGGCGGAGGAACUGAGGAAUNAUUAAGUUGCUCGGGGCAACCUAUGAUGCUUUUGGGCUGAACGAUUCCGACUUCGCGACGAUAGCCGCGGUGGUGACAAGCCUCUCGCGGCGAUGUCAGGACGAUUAUGUAGU
rnacentral:misc_RNA from 1 species